rnacentral:rRNA from 1 species
UACGUAGGGGGCGAGCGUUGUCCGGAAUCAUUGGGCGUAAAGGGCGUGUAGGCGGCCCGGUAAGUCCGCUGUGAAAGUCCAGGGCUCAACCCUGGAAUGCCGGUGGAAACUGUCGGGCUGGAGUCCGGAAGAGGCGAGUGGAAUUCCUGGUGUAGCGGUGAAAUGCGCAGAUAUCAGGAGGAACACCAAUAGCGAAGGCAGCUCGCUGGGACGGUACUGACGCUAAGGCGCGAAAGCGUGGGGAGCGAACAGG